rnacentral:rRNA from 1 species
UACGUAGGGUGCGAGCGUUGUCCGGAAUUAUUGGGCGUAAAGAGCUCGUAGGCGGUGUGUCACGUCGGCCGUGAAAACCUGCAGCUUAACUGUGGGCGUGCGGUCGAUACGGGCAUCACUGGAGUUCGGCAGGGGAGACUGGAAUUCCUGGUGUAGCGGUGAAAUGCGCAGAUAUCGGGAGGAACACCGGUGGCGAAGGCGGGUCUCUGGGCAACAACUGACGCUGAGGAGCGAAAGCGUGGGGAGCAAACAGG